GAAAGCCGUAUUCGAUGAAAGUCGUAUGUGCGGCUUGGAGGGAGAUCUUUCAUAUUUUUCGAGAUCCAGGGACCACAUGGGCCUACCCCUC
rfam:Morus notabilis contig12173, whole genome shotgun sequence.